GGUAUGGAAUAUUUGCUAGUUUAACAGUGUAAAAGAAUCGAAAUCGGUUGAUUUUUUGAUAAAAAUUCUAUUCAUUAUAUAGAUAAAAAUCAAUAACUUCGAUCUUAAAUUGAAGGAUCCGAUCAUCCAUUUAAGACGUCGUUCGUUUUUUACCAUUCAUUUUAUUCAUGAACUUUAUUAUGAUUUCGAAAAAUUAUAAAAUUUAUUUUCUAGAAGUUUUGAUACUCUAGAUCAUAUUUAACGGAGUGGAUCGUCGAUUCGGAAGCUCCAUCAUUAAAAACAACUUAUGAGUAUUAAGGGCUCUAUACUCAUAAUAAAAGUAUAGUAACCCUAGCCUAUAUAUAUAUAGAGUCCGGCUACCAUACCUUUAUGAGUACGAUCGCCCUCGUACUCAUAAGUCGUCUUCAAAGACAGAGCUUCCGAAUCGACGAUCCAUACCAUUAAACAUUAUCUAGAGCAUUUAAACUUUCUAGAAAUCAAAUUUUAUAAUUUUUUGAUAUCAUUUACCUUACGAUCAAAAGGUUAUAAAAUUGACAAUUUUAACGACCGGUAUGGGAUACUUGGUAGUUUAACGGUGUAAAAGAAUCGGAAUUGGUUGAAUUUUUGAUAGAAAAUUCUAUUCACUACCUAGAUAAAGAUCAAUAACUCCGAUUUUAAAUUGAAGGAUCCGAUCAUCCAUUUUUAAGAUGUCGUUCGAUUUCGAUCAUUCAUUUUAUACCCACUUGAUGAACUUUAUUAUGAAUUCAAAAAAUUACGAAAUUUAUUUUCUAGAAGUUUCAAAUACUCUAAAUCAUAUUUAACGAAGUGGAUCGUCGAUUUGGAAGCUCCAUCAUCGAAAAUAAUUUAUGAGUAUGAAGGACUCUAUACUCAUAAUAGUAUAGUAACCCUAAACU
rnacentral:lncRNA from 1 species